rnacentral:rRNA from 2 species
UGGGGGAUAUUGCGCAAUGGGGGCAACCCUGACGCAGCAACGCCGCGUGAAGGAUGAAGGUUUUCGGAUUGUAAACUUCUUUUAUUAAGGACGAAACUUGACGGUACUUAAUGAAUAAGCUCCGGCUAACUACGUGCCAGCAGCCGCGGUAAUACGUAGGGAGCAAGCGUUGUCCGGAUUUACUGGGUGUAAAGGGUGCGUAGGCGGCUUUGCAAGUCAGAUGUGAAAUCUAUGGGCUCAACCCAUAAACUGCAUUUGAAACUGUAGAGCUUGAGUGAAGUAGAGGCAGGCGGAAUUCCCCGUGUAGCGGUGAAAUGCGUAGAGAUGGGGAGGAACACCAGUGGCGAAGGCGGCCUGCUGGGCUUUAACUGACGCUGAGGCUCGAAAGUGUGGGGAGCAAACAGGAUUAGAUACCCUGGUAGUCCACACUGUAAACGAUGAUAGCUAGGUGUGGGGGGUCUGACCCCUUCCGUGCCGGAGUUAACGCAAUAAGCUAUCCACCUGGGGAGUACGACCGCAAGGUUGAAACUCAAAGGAAUUGACGGGGGCCCGCACAAGCAGUGGAUUAUGUGGUUUAAUUCGAAGCAACGCGAAGAACCUUACCAGGUCUUGACAUCCGACUAACGAGAUAGAGAUAUGUCAGGUGCCCUUCGGGGAAAGUCGAGACAGGUGGUGCAUGGUUGUCGUCAGCUCGUGUCGUGAGAUGUUGGGUUAAGUCCCGCAACGAGCGCAACCCCUGCCAUUAGUUGCUACGCAAGAGCACUCUAAUGGGACCGCUACCGACAAGGUGGAGGAAGGUGGGGACGACGUCAAAUCAUCAUGCCCCUUAUGACCUGGGCUACACACGUAAUACAAUGGCCGUUAACAGAGGGAAGCAAAGCGGUGACGCAGAGCAAAACCCUAAAAACGGUCCCAGUUCGGACUGUAGGCUGCAACCCGCCUACACGAAGUUGGAAUUGCUAGUAAUCGCGGAUCAGCAUGCCGCGGUGAAUACGUUCCC